GAGGGAAAAAUUAGGGUAAGUGAUUAGGGUUAGGGAUUGCAACAGACAAGCUUUAGUAAGAAAGAUUCAUUCAUUCAUUCCCUCCGUGUUUCAAAAUGUCGAAAUCGGAACAGGAACCGAAAUCGAAACGGCUGAAAUCGGGAUCGGAACAGAAACACAAUGAAGAUUCAUAUGAGGAUGAGGAGGAUAAGCAGAAAUUCAUGAAAUAAGAUUCAUCUGUGGAGGAGGAGGAGAAACGGCUGAAAUCGGAACCGAAACCGGAUCCAGAUGAUUCUGAGUAUAGUGAGGAAGACGAGGAUAACUUGUCUGUGCAUGACAAUGACAGUUUUCCAUUUUGGUAUAAGCGUCGUGAUGGUACUUUGUAUACAAAUAAGGCUUGGAAGGAUCGUGAGGCUAAAAUUCUUGACUAUAAAAAUCGCUCUAGCAAACUAAGUGUCUACGAUGCUAUCCACUGUCCACCAGGUUGUGCUGGCGGUGUUGUACCCCUCGACUUAAGCGAUGAUGUGCUCCGUACUCUCAAACCCCUCUGCAUUGCUGCUUUGAAGAUUUACAAUCAAACAAAUAUUAAGCAGGGUCCAACUUUUGUGUUUGAUAAAGUUGUCAAGUGUACCCAUCCUGGUGCUACUUCUUUAUAUGCUCCUAGGGUAUAUUACAUUACUUUUAAAGCAAAAGCAGAAGCAAUACAGAAAAAGGGAGGAAGACCUGCUCUAACAACUUUCCAGACUCAUGUAUCGCAGCGUAAAGAUAAAGAUCCUGUUGUCAAAGAGUGUUUCAUUAAAAAAAUCUAAUACAAUCCGCCAUGGUUAUGGAAUCUACCUGCCAUGGAUGAUAUCUCUCACUGUUUCAUAUGAACAUAUCUAUGUCUUGAAUCCUUUAGAGUUUCAUUUCUUUCUUAAUUUGAUCUGCGAACCAUUAUGCCUGUAUUUUCUCCCAUUGAAUGACUCCAAGUUGUUAUGUCAUAGUCAUUUAUUACUUCCAUUGCUAAAAAUUCAUGUCUCAUAAUUCAUGAUUGUGGAAAGCUGAAACCGUGUAUUAGAUCUUAACCUGAUCUGAAAUUAAGUUAACGUGAUCUUUGCCUUUGUGGUUUGAUAUUUGGGCUCUCUCUCCCCUCUUUUCAUAUCUUGGAUUUUGGUGUUAUCAAUCACAUAUGGAGGAUAACAAAAAAUCUGCCCUGGUGCCACUAUCCUUCACAAAUUGGCCACACGGUUGUAAAAAAAAAAUCCGCCACUGCAAUCGUCCAUGGCACUAGUUGAAAAUACUCUUGCUGGUGGUAAAUUAGGGAAAUUGUGUUUUUGUUAGGGACCAUGAGGAAAUAGACCCCAUUUUUGGAAUGUUUAUCUUAGUAAACGUUUCAAGGGGCACUGUUAAGCUGGGAAAUGAGGGAGAGUAGUGGCAUUAGGUGCGAGGGUAAUGUGUGACUCAUUCUGUUAAGUCGUUAGAGUCAGUUAGGAGAAAUUUUUUCUCUGGUUUACAUUUUGUUUUUCCUGCAUUUCCACCAUUGUAACAGUACAUAAUACACAAUUGUUACCUCACUUUUCUGAUUU